UGGCGGCAGGCCUAACACAUGCAAGUCGAGCGGUAGAGAGAAGCUUGCUUCUCUUGAGAGCGGCGGACGGGUGAGUAAUGCCUAGGAAUCUGCCUGGUAGUGGGGGAUAACGUUCGGAAACGGACGCUAAUACCGCAUACGUCCUACGGGAGAAAGCAGGGGACCUUCGGGCCUUGCGCUAUCAGAUGAGCCUAGGUCGGAUUAGCUAGUUGGUGAGGUAAUGGCUCACCAAGGCGACGAUCCGUAACUGGUCUGAGAGGAUGAUCAGUCACACUGGAACUGAGACACGGUCCAGACUCCUACGGGAGGCAGCAGUGGGGAAUAUUGGACAAUGGGCGAAAGCCUGAUCCAGCCAUGCCGCGUGUGUGAAGAAGGUCUUCGGAUUGUAAAGCACUUUAAGUUGGGAGGAAGGGUUGUAGAUUAAUACUCUGCAAUUUUGACGUUACCGACAGAAUAAGCACCGGCUAACUCUGUGCCAGCAGCCGCGGUAAUACAGAGGGUGCAAGCGUUAAUCGGAAUUACUGGGCGUAAAGCGCGCGUAGGUGGUUUGUUAAGUUGGAUGUGAAAUCCCCGGGCUCAACCUGGGAACUGCAUUCAAAACUGACUGACUAGAGUAUGGUAGAGGGUGGUGGAAUUUCCUGUGUAGCGGUGAAAUGCGUAGAUAUAGGAAGGAACACCAGUGGCGAAGGCGACCACCUGGACUAAUACUGACACUGAGGUGCGAAAGCGUGGGA
rnacentral:rRNA from 1 species